CUUAUGCCUCAGCCUCUUGAGUGGCUGGGGCUACAGGUGUGUGCCACCACACCCAGCUAAUUUUUGUAUUUUUGGUAGAGAUGGGGUUUUUGCAUGAUGGCCAGGUGGGUCUUGAACUCCUGGCCUCAAGUGAUCCUCCACCUCAGUCUCCCAAAGUGGUGGGCUUAACAGGCGUGAACCACCAUGCCCAGCCUGCCUGUGCCUUUGAUGUUGGACUUCACAGUCUCUGUAACUAAUUUCUGUUGUUGAAGCCACCCAGUCUACGGUAUUCUGUUACAGCAGCUUGAACUGAGUAGAAGAGUGUUUAUCAUACCAAUCACCAGUUUAUCACCGGCUUCCUAAGGAACCUUUACUAAAAUGGACUGUGAGUGUAGCUAACUUAGGGGCAAUAUCUUUGAUUUUAAAUGCUGCAGAGUGGAAAAACAUGUUUGAGUUGAUGCAGAACCCACAGCUCACUAUUGAACAAUCGUGGACCGGACUGACUCUGGAACCUGGGGAGGAGCUGCUGGCUCCUACCGUGCCUGAUAAACAGCUCUCACCUGACUGACAAAGGGUUGCUUGGUUUGUGGAUGGCAGUUCCAAGGUGAAUGGACAACAUCCUGUUCAGAAGGCUGCUACUCUGAUUGUAAAGUGUACUUUUGUGAACAGAAUUUACCUUUCUCUCUAAUUGAGUUCUCCAAAAUGUGGAAAUUACUUAUAAACUGGAAUCAUGAUAUCCUGAAGACUAAAGAUGAUUCACCUAAGGCCUGUAUAGCUCCCUAAUUUGAAAUCCCACUGGACCCUAUCUGCUUUUCAUUGCCAAUGCUGUGCUGCUAAAACUAUCCAAGCAUGCUCCCAGAGACUAUCACCAAAGGGGUGGGCUUGGGAUUGUAAGGGCCAGUUUCUGGCUUCUGACCAGAGGCUGCACUUCCCAGCCUGUCAGAGUGACCACCCUGCAGGCUGCAACGUGCAUGAGAAAUAGAGCUCUCUUUUCCAAAUUUAUGACCCCUGUCGUUCUUCAGCUGACACUACAAAUAUAUGCAAACAACAACAACAACAACAACAACCCUGCUUCAAUUGUGAAAAAGUAACAUAUGAGGCAUCUUAGGUCGUCUGUACUUAACUUUUCUUGAAGUUCAUGUUGCUUGCUAAGCAUAGUGUAUUAACCCAUUCUUCUGUUGCUAUGAAGGACUACCUGAGACUGGGUAAUUUAUAAAGAAAAGAGGUUUAAUUGGCUCAUGGUUCCACAAGCUGUACAGGAAGCAUGGCUGGUGAGGCCUCAGGAAACUUACAAUCAUGGAAAAAGGGUAAGAGAAAGGAGGUAUGUCUUACAUGGCUUCAGAAUGAGGAAGGGAGUGAAGGGGGAGGUUCCACCCACUUUUAAACAACCAGAUCUCGUGAGAAGUCACUCGGUAUCAUGAGAACAGCAAGGGAGAAAUCUGCCCCCAUGAUCCAUUCACCUCCCACCAGGCCGUUCCUCCAACAUCUAGACCAUUUCACAUAGUGAGUUAGAGCCACAAAGAACAGUUUAAUAAAUUUAGAGAAAAACACCUUUUUUAAGACCCCUCUGAGUUGCUAGAUCACAUCAUAUACAGGCAAGGUGAAAUAAAACAACUAUAAUAAAUAUAUAGUGCAUUAAUAUAGUCUUUAAAGAUCAGAGACCUUAAAGUGUUUUUUCUAAUAUGUGAUCUUAUUUUUACCAACAGCAAUAGCAAUUUUAAUUAAUAUUAUUUCCAAAAACUUGAAUAUGUGUAAUUUCAAUUCUAACAAAUUAAGUAGUUUUCUUCAAGAGUGUUCAAGAGUGUACAGUUAAAGAAAAUAAGCUUUGUGCUCUUUUUUCACUGGCCAUACAAAUCAUAGACAUUCCAGACUCCUACCUUCUACAAGCGUCUUCCCUCUGCUGCUUUUAUUCUUCCUUAUCCUCCUCAGGACCCUUUUGUUCUCAUCUUCACUGUCCUUUCUUCCCUUUUAGGAGAAUAGGGGUAGUUGAGGAUUUGUUUUCUUUUUCAGAAAUUUAUCUGUUACUCAUUGACAGAAAUUCAGAAUCACAAAGCACUAAGAGAUCAGUAAUAUGAUAGCUGCUAUUAAGUUGCCUUUAAAAUGAGAGAUAUGAAUGAAGGAGACUUUUAAGAUGUUAGACUGGUGCUUUUUGAUCAUUAAUGAACAUACAAAUCUCCUGGAGAUUUUGUUAAAAUGCAGAGUUUGGAAGUGGAAUCUGGUAUUUUGCAUUUCUACCAAGCUGCCAGUGAUAGGGACCACACUUUGAGUAGCAGAGUAGGGCUGAGGGCUGUUUCUUUAGGAAUGCACUCCUUCCUUGAAGAAAGUUGGCCUUCCUUUCUGUUCUUCCUUUUCUCUUUAGGAAUGCACCCUUUCCUUGAAGUUUCUGAAAAACACUGAAGAUUUUAAUUGAUUUUCAUUAUUUUUUCUUGCUGCUUUAUUUCUCUGCAUUUACUCCAGGCAAGAUUUAUACAGCAUUUGUGAAAUCUACAGUUUCUCUUAGGCAUGAAUGUUGUACUAGGGCAUGUGUCAUGGUAUAUUAGUGAUAAUGAGAAGAUAAAACAACAUUACUGCAAUUCUCUCAACAAGAUAAUUAUGUUUCCUUUUUUAAAACCAAUAACCCCAAAAGCUAUUUUCUAAACAGCUACUCUGUUCCAGGUACCAUAUAUGGUCCUGGGGAUCCAAAGCUGAAAAUUACAGAAUUCCUGCUAAUAAAUUAAGAUCUAAAAUCUGUUGUGAUAAGUGUUGUAAGAUACUGUAGUAGGGUAUGUAUAAAUCACAGGGGAGAACAGAGGCAUAAUUUAAUUUGCAUAUGGGGAAGAGUGAAAGGCCAUAGACAGGAGGUAAAUUUUUAGCUGGAGCUUAAAUGGAAUGGUAAGGUUUUGCCUAUCAGAAAAAGGAGAGAGAAUAUUCUUUGCAGAGAAAACUGCAUGUUCAAAGGUGUGGAGGCAUUUGCUCUUGGGUAGCAGUUUUUGAGGUAGGUGUUAUGCUUACCAUUGACAAGUUCUUUACAGGAGAAAUAAAUAGAGUUACUGUGAGAAAUACUAUUAUGUUAUUCACAGUGACUAAUACUUGAAAUAAGAAGCAGGUAAUUUUGAAAAAAGAUAAACAGUACUCGAAAGCGUAAGUGGACAUUAAAUGUUUUAUAAUUACUCUCCACACUACCUUUUUAAAGAAAGCUUUUGUGAAAGAAAGAAAAAGGGAAAGAAUAUGUUUUCAUCACUUGUUAAAGAGGUUUCCAUGGAAAAGCUGAAUCUCAGUUUAGGGCUUACUGAUGGUGAAAUUACUAGAGUGUGCUUCAGAAACAUAUCCUAAUUUCUGAAGAUUAGUGUCCCUGUGGAAUUAGAGCCAAUUUCUUAUGACUACGUAUUUUUUUAGGAUAUCUCCACAUGCAGAGGGAAGCCUUCUAAGAGGCAUACUUUAUAUAGUCUGGGUUUUUUUCAGUUGUUUUUUGCUUUUUUUAUCAGCCACUUUGGCUAAUAGACACUUACUAGGGGAAGACUAAAAGCAAAACAGUACAGAAUAAGCUUCAAAUAUAGUGAGCAUUAAAUUGAUGUGUUCAUUACAUAUUUAUAUUGCACUUUUUGAACUGAACGCCUUUCUAGGCUUUUUAAAUAAAAUGAUGAAAAGAUAAAAUCCCUGACCCCAAAAAGCUCUAUUCUAGUGUAAGCACAACUAAGCAAUAGGGGUUUCUAUUUGAUCAGUGGUUCUCAAAGUGAGUCCACAGAGCCUUGGGGGUCCCUGAAACCCUUUCAGAGGCACCAUGAGGUCAAAAUACUGUUCAUAAUUACACUGAGAUGUUAUCUGCUUCUUUUCACUAUGUUGACAUUUGCAUAGAUGAUUCAGAAGCCAUGGUGUGUGAAACUGCUGGUGCUUUAGCAGGAAUAUCAUCUGUGACACCAAAUUGUUCUGUACCUUUGAUUAUUGUAUUCUUACUGCCACACACUUGGAGGAGAAAGGAGAGAGAGAGAGAGAGAGAUACAGAGAGAGAGAGAGAGAAAGAAAGAGAGAGAAAGAAAGAGAGAGAAAGAGAGAGAAAUUUCUCUUAAGAAUGUCCUGGAUACCUAUGUAAUAAACCUGCACAUCCUGCACACAUACCCCAGAACUUAAAAUAAAAUAAAAUGUAAAAAUAACUAGUUUUAUUAAAUCCUGACCUGUAAUCCCAGUGCUUUGGGAGGCUAAGACAAGAGGAUUGUUUAAUGCCAGUAGUUUAAGUCUAGCCUGGGCAAUAUAGUGAGAUCCUGUCUCUACAAAAAUUUUAAAAAUUAGCCAGCCAUAGUGGCCCGCACCACACCUAUACUCUCAGCUACUCAGGAGGCUAAGGUGGGAGUUUUGUUUGAGCCCAGGAGUUCUAAGUUACAGUGAACUAUGAUUGUGCUACUGCAUUCCAGCCUGGGCAAUAAAGUGAGAUCCUGCUUCUUUUUUUUUUUUUUAAUUUAUUUAUUUAUUAUUAUUAUACUUUAAGUUUUAG
rnacentral:lncRNA from 10 species